ACACAUGCAAGUCGAACGAUGAAGAAAAGAAUUGAAGCUUCGGCAGAAAUUCAUUUCGGAUUAGUGGCAGACGGGUGAGUAACGCGUGAGCAACCUACCUCUUACAAAGGGAUAGCCUCGGGAAACCGGGAUUAAUACCAUAUAACAUUGCGACGAAGCAUUUCGAUGCAAUCAAAGCUACGGCGGUAAGAGAUGGGCUCGCGUCCCAUUAACCAGAUGGUGAGGUAACGGCUCACCAUAGUAACGAUGGGUAACCGGCCUGAGAGGGUGAACGGUCACACUGGAACUGAGACACGGUCCAGACUCCUACGGGAGGCAGCAGUGGGGAAUAUUGCACAAUGGAGGGAACUCUGAUGCAGCGACGCCGCGUGAGUGAUGAAGGAAUUCGUUUCGUAAAACUCUGUUCUAUGGGAAGAAAAGGACUGUACCAUAGGAGAAAGCUCCGGCUAAAUACGUGCCAGCAGCCGCGGUAAUACGUAUGGAGCGAGCGUUGUCCGGAAUUAUUGGGCGUAAAGGGUGCGCAGGCGGCUUUACAAGUUGGAUGUGAAAUAUUGUGGCUCAACCACAAACGUGCAUCCAAAACUGCAAAGCUUGAGUUAAGGAGAGGUAAGUGGAAUUCCUGGUGUAGCGGUGGAAUGCGUAGAUAUCAGGAGGAAUACCGGUGGCGAAGGCGACUUACUGGACUUAAACCGACGCUCAGGCACGAAAGCGUGGGGAGCAAACAGGAUUAGAUACCCUGGUAGUCCACGCCGUAAACGAUGAGUGCUAGGUGUUGGGGG
rnacentral:rRNA from 1 species